AGUGGAGUGGUUUAGACCACCACCAGGGGUCGAAACCAACAAAGCCAACCUGGUUUGGAAAAGCUGACGAUCUCUCCCUCUCUCCCCAUAGGGUACGGGCCGCCCCAGGACACAGCUGGAUGGCAGCUGUAGAGCAUUUGGAUGUGAAGUGGGUGGGUGGGUGGUGCGGCUGUGGUGGGGAGGGUUCCUGGCAUCGUGAUUUGGUGGAUAAACAGAAAUGAAAAUCACAUUGCCAGGGAUUUCCACUCCUGCACAGUUCUUCAGGUGUCCCACACCUACAAAGCCUCCCGCUGGAAUGACAGAUAAUGGCUUACUGGAAUAUCGGCGAAGGCAAAAGGGCAUCUGGCAAGUUUCAAAAAGGAUGCAAACCUCAUUUGACACCCACAGCGCUUAGGCCUGAUAUCAGACGAUUUCUGAAGAGCAUUUUUGAAGCUCAAAGUGGGCGGAGCAGGCCAUCGCCAUCUUGACAGCACGUCACUGUGCGUCACUCCCGGAUAAUCAAAGAAGAGGUGGGAGCUGGUUGCUGAAUCCACACCCACCUAGGUCGAAGGCAGUUACAGCAGCGGCAAUCCACCUGUCACUCAAGUGGCCACGCCCUUAAUUAUGCAGAAUUUUAAGGCUUACUAUAAUUUAAAUGGAUGCGUUAUAAAUAAAUAAAAAAACACCCCCUCAUAGGUUAGCUAUAUAGUUGGGUAUUUUUAACAUGGGGACUCCCUUUUGGAGCCAGCCUCUAGUGGCAAGUCGAUGAAUUGCAGUUUUAGUCACUUCUGUGUUGGUUUCAUGAGAGAGAGAUUGGUAGGUUGCCACUUGGUUGGCAUACGUUUUAAAAUUUUCAGAUCAUUUUGUACCUUUUUGAAAUUAAGGGUUAAAUCCAAGUGUGUUUUAUACAGUAUUUUGUCUAAAUGACGGAAAAUUGUAAGAAAUAAAGUUUUCAACUUAGCAAAGUUUUAGAGGCAGAGACAUCCAAUGUCUAUUGUAAAAAGAGCUGCCAUGUGUUUAAGAACAGCUUUGGCAAAUUCACAUGACCAACUUGAAUCCAUUGCGAAAUCUGCAUGGGCAAAUAUUUCUAAAUACUAAAGUGACUGAAUUUCGCCAUUGAAAAUUUGUUGAACAACCGCACCUAAACUUAAAACAUGUUUGAGAACAUGAUGGAUUGUCGUUGUAGAUGUUUGCUCUUGCCAGCUGCGGUAACUUAUGGCUUCCCUGAAAUGUGAUGUCGUAACCAACCUUUAUUUUUCCAGACAAAUCCUCUCAGAUUAUUUGAAGAAUUGCGAUGGUGUGGUGUUGACAAAACAAUAAAGGGCUGUGCCCUCUUGUGCCUGCUAAACUGGUAUCAGUUUCUUGAAUAAAUGCUGGCUCAGUUCAGCAGGAACAGGAGUGAAGCCCACUGCUGCACUCUCCUCCAAUCAGAAUGCAGCAUGCGUCAGUAUCCUCCAAUCAGCACGCAGUGUCCUCUACUCUCAUCCAGUUAGCAUGAAGUGUGCUUCACUUUUUCCCGGUUACAUAAACAUCUGUCAUCACUGAAUAUAAAACAUGUUUUCAAGCGAACCAACCUCGAUGAAAUAUGAAUGGUUAACCAAUUUUUUGCAUACUUAUUAAAGCCAUAUCCAUAUUUUUAGCACUGCAUGUUGUUCUCAGCACACGCAUGCCAUGGGAAUGCACGAUAUUGGAAUCUGAAGAUGUAUGUUCAGCUGGCUUUACCUCAUGUUCGGCGUGCAUGAGAAACACUAGCAGUGUCUCUGCGUGUUAAAGAUAGUUCGAAUGAAUCAUGGUGGGAGACUUAUUUUAGGUGGCGGCGUCAUAUUCAUUUACGCAUAAAAAAUUGAAGACUUCAGGUAGAUCAUAAAUCUAAUUCAGACUGUUAACUUUCUGAAGCUAACUUUGGCUUUUCCUUUUCUGUAUCUUACCAGAACCAUUAGAGGAAAGAUUACAACUGGACAAAUUUUAAGUUAAUUAAUCGGAUAUCAUUUAGAUUUACAUACAUAAAUAGAAAAUAGCAUUUUCAUAGUUCUCUUUGUCUAAUAUGUACCAAAAUUCAAAAGGUUCAAGUGUAAAGUAGAUUGGAAAUGUGUGUGGUUUUGGUAAAAUACUAAUGGCAUUAGUAUGUCAUUGCUAAGGUUUAUGGCACAUUUUAUAAUGUAUUAUGUGUUAAAAAAAUUAAUCAAAAACUACUUAGUCCAAAAUAUAUAAAAUACUACUCAAAAUGCUGCAUAAUUGGACUGUGUCUCGUUCAUUGAUCUGUUAUCUCUGAAGGACAGUUUCUGAGAGACAUACUGCAGAUCUCUUGGCCUUACUUGAACCGUUCUCCUCGGUCUGCAGCAUUGACAGCUACUUGGAAAGAUUUGUGCUGCUCAGAAACAAUUAUAGGUCAUAAAUGCAUCAGCGGGAAGGAGCUGCAGGGAUAAAAGCGAAAAGCCUCUUAUUUUAGUUUCACAGCGAUUUCAGAGUCCUUUUAUCAUGCGCUCAGAGACUGACCAGAUUUCGUGACGUGGCCUCCUUAAGUUGUUUGAUAUUGUUUUUUUUUUGGUUCCCUGCGCCACCGUGUAGUCAGUGUGUUCGCGGUCCAGACCAGAGCUGUGCACUUUAUAAUUGAUUUAACUUGAACAAGACCAGCUGUGCAAUAAAGGAGCAAAGCUGCAUUGAGAAACCCGCGGCGCUGUGUCCGUAGAUCCUCCUGGAUCACGAUUCGGCGUGAAAAGAAAAGGAUUUCACAUGUGUGCUGAAAGUAUAACUUUUCCACAUAUUUAUAAAAAUACAUUUAUGGACAUGUUGACACCACAUGAAUGCCUGUGAGGUCCAUUUGCGACGGACGAACAGUCGUCCAAUCAGCAUGCAGCAUGUUUUCCUCUCCUCCAAUCAGCAUGCAGACAUUACUUAGGCUCGUUUUCUCAGGCAACGACUGGGUUAAUUUUAUCUUCGACGAUCUGGCAAGCAUUUCUCAAGUUAAAUCAUGUAGCAACUGAAUAACGAUAAACACAUGCUUAAUUUCUUGUCCUAAAUGGAAGAAUCCUGUUUAUGGUGCCUAGAGCCAAAUUUAUAUCACACAGUGAAAUGAUAUGCAAAUCACCCUAAUAAGCAGGGAACACGUUUAUCUGAUCUGUUCGUUGUAUCUGAUUGAUGGAGAUGUUUUUUCCAAAGAUGCCAAAACAACACGAUUAUCUUAAUUAAAUAAGACACUAGACAAUGAGAA